rnacentral:tRNA from 1 species
CGCGAGGUAGAGCAGCGGUAGCUCGUCGGGCUCAUAACCCGAAGGUCGGAGGUUCGAACCCUUCCCUCGCAACUA